GAUGAACGCUGGCGGCGUGCCUAAUACAUGCAAGUCGAGCGAACAGACGAGGAGCUUGCUCCUCUGACGUUAGCGGCGGACGGGUGAGUAACACGUGGAUCACCUACCUAUAAGACUGGGAUAACUUCGGGAAACCGGAGAUAAUACCGGAUAAUAUAUUGAACCGCAUGGUUCAAUAGUGAAAGACGGUUUUGCUGUCACUUAUAGAUGGAUCCGCGCCGCAUUAGCUAGUUGGUAAGGUAACGGCUUACCAAGGCAACGAUGCGUAGCCGACCUGAGAGGGUGAUCGGCCACACUGGAACUGAGACACGGUCCAGACUCCUACGGGAGGCAGCAGUAGGGAAUCUUCCACAAUGGGCGAAAGCUUGACGGAGCAACGCCGCGUGAGUGAUGAAGGUCUUCGGAUCGUAAAACUCUGUUAUUAGGGAAGAACAAAUGUGUAAGUAACUAUGCCCGUCUUGACGGUACCUAAUCAGAAAGCCACGGCUAACUACGUG
rnacentral:rRNA from 1 species